rnacentral:lncRNA from 1 species
UAUUGUGUGACAUCUAUUUUAGGCACGAGCAAAUCUAUGUUCUUGUUGAAGAACGAAGGUUAGUGGGUUGUCUAUUACGUUGAGUGGUUAUUAGGAGUUACCUCAAAGCACGAACCAAAGUCUGUGGGCUGCAAGAAAUCAGAACAUGAUUCAUUAACAUCUUUAAAGCAUAAAGAUACGUAAAUGCAUACAUAUACAGGAAUUUGUACGUGGCAUGAAGCCAUGAAGAAAUAGGUAACUGUAUUUACCAAAGUAAAUGAAAUUCAAAUUAAUAAAUUAUAAAGAACCAAAUAUAGGAACAGUUGCUUUGCACC